UACGUAGGGCGCAAGCGUUGUCCGGAAUUAUUGGGCGUAAAGAGCUCGUAGGCGGUCUGUCGCGUCCGUUGUGAAAACUCGAGGCUCAACCUCGGGCUUGCAGUGGAUACGGGCAGACUAGAGUGCGGUAGGGGAGAUUGGAAUUCCUGGUGUAGCGGUGGAAUGCGCAGAUAUCAGGAGGAACACCGGUGGCGAAGGCGGUUCUCUGGGCAUGUCCUGACGCUGAGGAGCGAAAGUGUGGGGAGCGAACAGG
rnacentral:rRNA from 1 species